GAGAAGACGUCUCUGUGGUCUGUUUGUCACUGAGAGGCGAGAAAGUGGGGAGAACACACAAGUAUAUAUCCUGGUAGAGUACACCCUGUACGAGAUGAGUUGUAAGUUGGAGGCAAUUUGGCACGCAGUAUCGAAAAGAUCGCGCUAAAUUCACUCCCUGGGGAGUGCGCUCGCAAAAGGAAAAUCUAAGGAAAAUUCGGGGGGCCGCGCACGCGCGGGAGUACAUGGUUUAAUUUUAUAAGCGCGAAGACCCCCCUCACUCUCAUGUCGAGAACUUUCCAGAGAGAUAGGGUUCUUUUCAGAGCAGAACACAGGUGCACAUGGUCGUCACUCGCUCUGAGAUAUGGGUUAAGUACCGCACGAGACACCCUUGUCCUUAGAGUCAGCUCGUAAUGGUGGGCACUUAAGGAGACCGCCGGUGACAAACCGGAGGAAGGUGGGGAUGACGUCAAGUCAUCAUGCCCCUUUCGGCCAGGGCUACACACGUACUACAAUGGUAGGUACAGAGGGCUGCAAGCCGGCGAGGGUAAGCCAAUCUCAUAAACCCUAUCUCAGUUCGGAUUGUAGUCUGCAACUCGCCUCCAUGAAGUCGGAAUCGCUAGUAAUCGCAGAUCAGCAUUGCUCCGGUGAAUCCGUUCCCGGCCCUGGUCCCCCCCGCCCUUCCCCCCAGGGAGUUUGUUCACCAGAAUCAGGUAGGUAACUUCUGGAGGCCGCUGCCAC
rnacentral:rRNA from 1 species